UACGUAGGGUGCAAGCGUUGUCCGGAAUUAUUGGGCGUAAAGAGCUCGUAGGCGGUCUGUUGCGUCGGCUGUGAAAACCCGGGGCUCAACCCCGGGCCUGCAGCCGAUACGGGCAGACUAGAGUUCGGCAGGGGAGACUGGAAUUCCUGGUGUAGCGGUGAAAUGCGCAGAUAUCAGGAGGAACACCGGUGGCGAAGGCGGGUCUCUGGGCCUGUGCUGACGCUGAGGAGCGAAAGCGUGGGGAGCGAACAGG
rnacentral:rRNA from 1 species